AUCUAGCUGAAGAGUUAAAAAUAGGACGAAAUUCGCAUCCUGGAU
rnacentral:hammerhead_ribozyme from 1 species